rnacentral:lncRNA from 1 species
GAGGAGGAGGAGGUCAAGGAGGAGGUUGGGGUUGGGGAGGAGGAGGAGGUGGUGGAGGGGGCAACCAAGGAGAUUGUUUGCCAUGGGGAUGUGGUGGCCACCCAAGAAAAUCAAUUGGGGCAAGAUCAGUUAGUCCUCCCUGAAACUAAAUGAAAGGGUGAUCAUGCACAACAUUGCAUGGGAAAAGGACGUUGCUAGCUAAGUGGGAACAAGAUUCAAAUACCCCUCCCUCCUGGAUUUCAGUUUCUACCUUUUCAUCGAUAUAACCUCACAUCAAAUACUAUAUAUCAUCCCAUAGAAAUAAUCUUCAGCACUACCUCCCUCCCUAUCGAAUCUUAUUCUAAAUUCUGUGCGGGUCGACUGUAUGCCAAUUAAUACUUUAAAUGUUCGCAACACUUUUGUGUGAGAGUGGCUAAUAAAAUAUUCUUACUGAUUUCUAUUUCUUAGUGCCAUCUGCUCCGUGGCCAGCACUGCUACAGAC